AUAUCAUUUUUGACAAUGCUGUACAACUGUGGCCCUUCCCAUCUGUCUGCUCACCAAAGACAUGGAGAUCUGGGUUUCCCUUAGCACAGAGCAAAUCAGCCAAAGAGCCUGAGGCCUGGGUAGCCUGGGGAAGAGAAGCGGUCUUAAGGGGAAGAAUUUCGAUCAAGUAAUCCUGGAGUAUUGAGCCUGGGCUACCUUCUCCUGCCACAGAUACUCUAUCCCAUUUGCUGUCAUCCAACGACUAACACCGUUUUCACUUCAGAACGUCAAGCCUUUUCUGUUCUCUUCAUGGCCUCCUCCCAUUAAAGCUGAAAGUAUCUGCUAUCAGUCAUUUGUCCUAACUGAGGAAGAAACUAUCUUCCAGAGGCAAAG
rnacentral:lncRNA from 1 species